rnacentral:rRNA from 1 species
UACGUAGGGGCAAGCGUUGUCCGGAUUAUUGGGCGUAAAGAGCGUGUAGGCGGCCAGGUAGGUCUGCUGUGAAAACUCGAGGCUUAACCUCGAGAUGUCGGCGGAAACCAUCUGGCUAGAGUCCGGAAGAGGAGAGUGGAAUUCCUGGUGUAGCGGUGAAAUGCGCAGAUAUCAGGAAGAACACCCGUGGCGAAGGCGGUUCUCUGGGACGGUACUGACGCUGAGACGCGAAAGCGUGGGGAGCGAACAGG